GACGAACGCUGGCGGCGUGCUUAACACAUGCAAGUCGAACGGAAAGGCCCUGCUUUUGUGGGGUGCUCGAGUGGCGAACGGGUGAGUAACACGUGAGUAACCUGCCCUUGACUUUGGGAUAACUUCAGGAAACUGGGGCUAAUACCGGAUAGGAGCUCCUGCUGCAUGGUGGGGGUUGGAAAGUUUCGGCGGUUGGGGAUGGACUCGCGGCUUAUCAGCUUGUUGGUGGGGUAGUGGCUUACCAAGGCUUUGACGGGUAGCCGGCCUGAGAGGGUGACCGGCCACAAUGGGACUUGGAUACGGCCCAGACUCCUACGGGAGGCAGCAGUGGGGAAUAUUGCACAAUGGGCGGAAGCCUGAUGCAACAACGCCGCGUGCGGGAUGACGGCCUUCGGGUUGUAAACCGCUUUCGCCUGUGACGAAGGGUGAGUGACGGUAAUGGGUAAAGAAGCACCGGCUAACUACGUG
rnacentral:rRNA from 1 species